rnacentral:rRNA from 1 species
UGCCAGCAGCCGCGGUAAUACGAAGGGGGCAAGCGUUGUUCGGAUUUACUGGGCGUAAAGCGUACGUAGGCGGAUUAUUAAGUCAGGGGUGAAAUCCCGAGGCUCAACCUCGGAACUGCCUUUGAUACUGGUAAUCUUGAGUCCGGGAGAGGUGAGUGGAACUCCUAGUGUAGAGGUGAAAUUCGUAGAUAUUAGGAAGAACACCAGUGGCGAAGGCGGCUCACUGGCCCGGAACUGACGCUGAGGUACGAAAGCGUGGGGAGCAAACAGGAUUAGAUACCCUGGUAGUCCACGCCGUAAACGAUGGAUGCUAGCCGUCGGGAAGCUUGCUUUUCGGUGGCGCAGCUAACGCAUUAAGCAUCCCGCCUGGGGAGUACGGUCGCAAGAUUAAAACUCAACGGAAUUGACGG